GGUGAGUUGGCCGAGUUGGACGAUGGCGCUCGCCUGCUAAGCGAGUAUACCUUAUCGGUAUCAAAGGUUCGAAUCCUUUACUCACCGCCA
rnacentral:tRNA from 2 species